UGAGCACAAGAAUUAUGGUGUCGUGGGGAACAUGUUCCCGGCUGGCUCCAGGCUGUACCUCUCGUCCAGACCCUUACAUGGUCGGCCACGUUACCCUGCCUGCCCCGCCCUCUGAGUGGGGAGUUCUGGCAUAGCUUGCCUGAAAAGGCAAUAAACAAAGUCGUGCCUGAAACUCUAUGGCAAAUACCACAAUCAGCUCCCAACCACACAACAAAUGCCCCUGGAAUCGAAAAUAGAAAGUGACCCAAGAAGGCCAAGCCCUGGGGGAGGACUCCACUGAGGAGGCAGACCUGGAGCUGGGCCCUGAGAAAGGCAAGUUGUAGGCCGUGCACGGAACAUGCCUUGGAGUCUGUUGGAGUGGAAGGAGAAACCCUUUGGCCAAUAAGAAGACACCAGACUAGACAGAUCUCCAGACAGGAGGGGACGCCGGUUCACUACCACCUCAAAAAAAAAACAACUUGCUGUGGGUUCCACCUGGCCCUAAGAUUCCUCUAACACUAGGGGGCAGUCAGGCCCCACAGACCUAAGGAGGUCUGUCCAAGUCUGAAUGAGCUCCAUGUGCCAGCAUCCUCAGACUGUCCACCUGGAGAUGAAGUGCUGGCACAGUAAAAUAACUUCCAGAGAUCCAUUUACUUAGACGUGUUAAAGGGCACCUCAGUGAUGCUUCAGUUGCAACCUCUUCUCCAUCAAAGAAGAUUUUCCCGUCAAAAUGGCAGAACCACAUCUCCUCCCAAGCUUCUAUCUAGCUGACGGUGUAGAGCCAGUAACCAACCUCGGUUGCCAGUGUUCUCAUAUUCAAGAUUGAAAUCUUUAAAAGUGCUUUUGGAUGGUACUGUGGUCAACUCUUGUCUCUGUUGGGAAUUAUUUGGUUUCCUUCCUGAAUUUCUAUCAAGGAGAAAAAGAGGCUUGAUCUGCCCCCAGGAAGAACAAGAAGUGGCUUUCACAGCAGCUGAUUGGAAUGGAAAACCAGGAUCAGAUCCACCUCCAAAAAACUUUCACGUGAAAAGGGAUGAAGUUUCAGUUAUCUGCUCCAAUUCAAGAAGUUCCAAAAGUUUCUUGAAAAUUCAGAAUUUCUUAUUUAAAUUAAUGAAAGAAGAAACACUAACUAUAAGUAGAGCCAGCUUUUGUCAUUGAUACACUCAAGCGUCCAGUAGAGUCUUUGAAUCCCAGAGUCACAGUUUAAGAGCUGAGUAUAAGAGUAACUCUCAGAACCAUGAAAGUCCCUCAGGACCGGAUGCUCCAUCAUCCCCCAGCCUGAGCGCUUGGCCUCAAUUCUUUCUUCUGAUGUUCCCAGGACACCUCACAAGUCAACCUACUUAUCACCCUGCUUCCCUGAUUUUCAUGCUUUACUUCCAACCUAGAAACUCACAACUGCAUAUUAUAUAAGCUUAGCAAACUGGAUAUCAAAGAGAACUCCCCCCAUUGGAUAAAAGCUAUUUGGUACAAGACCUAGAGAAAAAUCAUAAUUAAUGGCAAAAUAUUUGAAGGAUUUCCAUUAAAGUCAGGAACAAAACAGGCAACUCACUGCAGUGUGCUAACGCAGCAGACAAGGAAAGGAACGGGAAGCAUACAUAUAGGUGAGAGGGAAAGAGAGCUUCCUGUUUCCCCUCAGUCCUCGCUGCUGAUGGCUUCCUUUCCAGCCUUGAUUUUACCACUCAGUCUGUGGCAAGGAGUGAUGGAAAAUGGCCUGUAGCUUAAGAUGCCUAUGUGGUGAUACAAUUAGCACUUAACCGAUUUUACUGUUACUAGGUUGACCAUUUCCUCUCAGUUAUCUGGAGCCAGGGUAGGAGGCAGAAUAGACAAGGAAAAUCAAAAAAAAAAAAAAAAAAAAAAAAAAGAACUUUACUAGAGUUUCCAUGAGAGAAGACAUGAUAUAAGAAAGAUAGGAGGAAAAACAAAAAGCAAGAAUUGAGCAAGAAGGACAAAAAAAGAGAAACGGAGAAUGGACAUGUGGAUGGAUGGACAAGUAGCAAGGGGUAGGAUGGAGAGGUAGAAGCCUGAAGUGGACGGUGAGCAGGAGAAAAUGGGAAGAAAUAAGAGCCAGGAAAACAUCUGGACACAGGGCUUGAAGCUUUGUCUUGACUGAAGGAGCUUGGGCGUGUCGGAGAUGGAGCUGGGUUAGCAGGAAGAUUUGGCUGGGAAAAAGAGUAGCUUGCAGAGGCGGCGUGGAGAGCUGUUAGGUCCAAGGUAAAGUUUGGGGAAACUCCAAGUCCUUAGAGCUGUGCCAGGCACUCUGCUAAGUGGUUUACAUCCAACUGUCUCAUUUAAUUUAACCCUACACUAACUCUGUCAGGUAGAUGCUCUUAUUUUUUCCCCUGUACAGAUGAAGAAACUGGGGUUCAGAGAAAUUAAGUAUUUUGCCCAAGAUGAGUCAUUUAACAAUAAGUGGGCUGGGAUUCAAACUGAGGCUGCUGAUUCUGGAGCCCUGGCUGGGUGACGUUCAGCUUCGCUUCUCCAAAUUCUUACCUGGCUUGACCCAAUUUACCACCCAAGACUGGGUGUAUUCAGGGUGGUAUGGGAGGGGUUGCUAUGCAUUGUGUAGGUAGGGAAGAAGAAUUUUCUCAGACUAGUGAAAUUACAGAUGCCAGUGCUCUAAAAUCCACAUCCAAAGGGGAGCCUUUGGAGAAGCUGUGGUUGAUUAGUCUGGAGGAGAGAAAGGUGGGACACUGGAUAUUUGAGGGACUGACUUGGAAAUGGCGAUCAUCUACAGAGUCAUUCCAGAGAGGAGACCCGUGGGUGUGACGGGGAGGUAGUUACAGUUCAGUCUUGGGUGAGACUUGCAGUCAAGGCUUUCUGAAAGUGGGAUGAGCUUCUUCUGGCUGCAGAAGCUCCCCAUUACUGAAGGUGUCCAUCGUUCAUGCAUCCAUUCAUACAGAUUCUGUGGAGGAUGCACAAUGUGCCAUCUGUAUUCUAGGGAGACAAAUAUCCUCACUGCUCUCCUGGAGAUUGCAUUUUAUUGGGGAAAACAGGCAAUAAACAAAUAUAGAGACGAAUAAUUACAUAAACUACUUAUAAAUCAUGACAUGGGUUAUGAAGGAAAUCAACAAGGGUCUGAGAUAGGCAAUAAGGGAGGAAACUGGAGUGGGUCUUGUGCGUGCUCCGCUGAGGUUCUCUGGAUCCCAUCAUGGUUACUGUGUGCCAGUACCAGCAUCUGUGCACUUUUGCUGUAAGAAUCGACUCCUGUAACUUAGUUUCAAGGAGAGCCCUUGGGCCACUGGAGCUCUUUACCUGCUUACCCAGAGAGCGACCCCUAACUGCCCUUAGCCCAGGACUCAGCCAGUAGAGCAGGAGUGUGAAAGCCCAGAAACAACAUUCGGGGUGCGCAGCAGCCUUCUAGGCUUCUUCCUUCAGUGUCUUCCGCUUGCCUGUGCAGCUUCUCCUACUCCCUUACCAGU